rnacentral:lncRNA from 1 species
ACCCUAACUUGUUGCGGCCAGGUCGGGCGACGGGAUGACCAAUCCCGACCGCGUCCUCAGGGCUCUUCGAACAGUAAUUGGGCACUGACUCGGGGAUGAAGGCGUGGCUCUUGAUUGGCUUUGACUCCUGCCUAUGAGACUGUGAGGAUCUCGUUUCCCUAGUAACAGAUCGGCACUAAGAGAGACCAAUAACCGAAAAGUACAAUAGAAAGGCAUGUGACCAGGGUCUCCCGCGGAGUUUUGCUGAGAAUUUUGGAAAUGAAGCAUGUGGAGCGCCUAUGUCGGGGGAGAGAGGCCGAGCUGAAGGAGCACGGGCGCCGGCCUCGGCCUCUGGGGAGCCGGGCCCGCUCGCCUCCCUGCGCGGGGCUAGCCCGAGCCUGGAACUCGGGAGGCCCAGGAGCGAAGUGAAAGCCCCUUCUGGUCCCCCAGGGCUCCACUCCCGCAGCAGCCCGGCUCCGUCGGCGUCAGUGGAGCCCCAGGCCUGGGUCCGAGAUGAGCGAGACGCUGCUCUGGCUCGCGGUCGCCCGAGCGCUCCCAAAACCAGGGAACAGGCCCCAGGAGAGAAGCCCCUAGAAGUUUCCUGGAGCAGGGAGUCUCCUGUAUCCUGUUAGCUCUGCAAAGGAAUCUGGACUUUAUUCUGAGGGCCUUGGAGAACCCCUGCAAAGUUUUUUAAAAGGCUGGAGUGCACUAGCAAGAUCACAGUUUACUUCAGUCUCAACCUCCUGGGUUCAAGUGAUCCUCCUACCUCAGCUUCCCAAGUAGCUGGGACCACAGUUGCCACCAAGGUGCUUGGUCCUUCCGAGGAAGCUAAGGCCACAUUGGGGUGAGGCCAUCACUUCAUCCAGUGACUAGCACCACCUCUGGCAAUGUCAGCCCCACACUCGCCCGCGCCAUGGCCUCCAUCUCCGAGCUUGCCUGUGUCUACUUGGCCCUCAUUCUGCACGAUGACGAGGUGAUCAUCAUGGAGGUUAAUAUCAAUACCCUCAUUAAAGCAGCCAGUGUAAAUGUUGAACCUUUUGGCCUGGCUUGUUUGGAAAGGCCCUGGCCAACGUCAACAUUGGAAGCCUCAUCUGCAAUGUAGGGGCUGGUGGACCUGCUCUAGCAGCUGGUGCUGCACCAGCAGGAGGUCCUGCCCCCUCCAUUGCUGCUGCUUCAGCUGAGGAGAAGAAAAUGGAAGCAAAGAAAGAAGAAUCUGAGGAGUCUGAUGAUGACAUGGGCUUUGGUCUUUUUACUAAACCUGUUUUAUAAUGUGUUCAAUAAAAAGCUGACUUUACUGCU